CCACAGACGAAUAGACGGGAAACAAAGUCGGCCCUAUAAAUCAAUAAAGGAUCUGCAAACUAACUGCAUUUUGAGCCUGAGCAGGAGCUUGGUGGCCAGGUCGUGGAUGGCCUUACCCAGAAUGCACAAGGAGGACAGAAUGAAAAUCACACCCAGGAUAAUGCAGGCUCUGUAGAAGAAAAGAAAAGAAGAAAACUGUGGAACAUUUUGACAUUGCAGAGAUCCUGAUGCAACAGUGUACCCUGAUGCUGAAAACACAGAUCAAGAGCAAAAGUGGUGAAAGUGGAGCUUGCAGCUGCUACCUGCAGGGCUAAAGCCAGGGUUGUAAAAUAUAGUUCAAAAUGUCAUGAGAACAACUUCCCCCAGCACAAUCCAAACCCUCUAUGAAAUGUUCUA